UACGGGGGGGGCAAGCGUUGUUCGGAAUUACUGGGCGUAAAGGCUCGUAGGCGGCCAACUAAGUCGGAUGUGAAAUCCCCAGGCUUAACCUGGGAACUGCAUCCGAUACUGGAUGGCUUGAAUCCGGGAGAGGGAUGCAGAAUUCCAGGUGUAGCGGUGAAAUGCGUAGAUAUCUGGAGGAAUACCGGUGGCGAAGGCGGCAUCCUGGACCGGCAUUGACGCUGAGGAGCGAAAGCUAGGGGAGCAAACGGG
rnacentral:rRNA from 1 species